AACCAUUCUCACCUGCGGCUAGACCUGCGGAAGGAUCAUUACCGAGUUUACAACUCCCAAACCCCUGUGAACAUACCUAUACGUUGCCUCGGCGGAUCAGCCCGCGCCCCGUAAAAAGGGACGGCCCGCCCGAGGACCCCUAAACUCUGUUUUUAGUGGAACUUCUGAGUAAAACAAACAAAUAAAUCAAAACUUUCAACAAUGGAUCU
rnacentral:misc_RNA from 1 species